rnacentral:lncRNA from 1 species
GUGGCCCGUCCCCGGUCGACGUGGUUUUGCCACGUGGCAGGUCCUGGUUGGCCAGGUCUGCUGACAUGGCUGCUGACGUGGAACACGCGUUUUUUUUUUUUUUUUCAUUUUCCCCGGGUGCUACAUACCAUAAGUAUUUAUCUUAUGAAACUGAACUAUAAUCAUCGUUUGAUAAGAUAUUGAAUAAUGAAUCAAUUCAAAA